rnacentral:rRNA from 1 species
CACGGACCAAGGAGUCUAACAUGUACGCGAGUCAUUGGGACCGAGCGAUACCUAAAGGCGUAAUGAAAGUGAAGGUCGGCCCUGGUUGUCGACCGAGGGAGGAUGGGCCGCGUCGCGAUGCGGCUCCGCACUCCCGGGGCGUCUCGUUCUCAUCGCGAGAAGAGGCGCACCCAGAGCGUACACGUUGGGACCCGAAAGAUGGUGAACUAUGCCUGGUCAGGACGAAGUCAGGGGAAACCCUGAUGGAGGUCCGUAGCGAUUCUGACGUGCAAAUCGAUCGUCGGAACUGGGUAUAGGGGCGAAAGACUAAUCGAACCAUCUAGUAGCUGGUUCCCUCCGAAGUUUCCCUCAGGAUAGCUGGCACUCGGCCGUUCCGCACGGAACGCGCGCGAGUCUCAUCUGGUAAAGCGAAUGAUUAGAGGCCUUGGGGCCGAAACGACCUCAACCUAUUCUCAAACUUUAAAUGGGUGAGAUCUCUGGCUUUCUUGAACUAUGAAGCCACGAGCAUCUCGGAUCAGAGUGCCAAGUGGGCCAUUUUUGGUAAGCAGA